UUGGAGGGCAAGUCUGGUGCCAGCAGCCGCGGUAAUUCCAGCUCCAAUAGCGUAUAUUAAAGUUGUUGCAGUUAAAAAGCUCGUAGUUGAAUUUCGGGAUUGACGUGACGGUCGUGCCUUAAGGGGUAUGAACUGUUACAGUCAAUUUCUCACCUUCUGGAGAAAUAUGAUGUCCUUAAUUGGGUGUCAUAUGGAACCAGGACUUUUACCUUGAAAAAAUUAGAGUGUUUAAAGCAAGCUUAUUGCUCGAAUACAUUAGCAUGGAAUAAUAAAAUAGGACGGCAUGAUUCUAUUUUGUUGGUUUCUAGGAUCACCGUAAUGAUUAAUAGGGAUAGUUGGGGCAUUAGUAUUCAAUUGUCAGAGGUGAAAUUCUUGGAUUUAUUGAAGACUAACUACUGCGAAAGCAUUUGCCAAGGAUGUUUUCAUUAAUCAAGAACGAAAGUUAGGGGAUCGAAGACGAUCAGAUACCGUCGUAGUCUUAACCAUAAACUAUGCCGACUAGGAAUCAGACGAUGUUAAUUUUUAAUG
rnacentral:rRNA from 1 species